GUCAAGUAUGUCUUGACGUAUCGGCUAAACCAAGACGUACUCGAAAAUUUCUUCGGCAUUAUUCGGUCAAAAGGCGGGUUACAUGAUCACCCUGACCAACAGGAAUUCAAGUACCGUCUGCGACUAUACCUGCUGGGACACAACAAGGGCGUAUUAUCCGAUUCUGCUAAUGUAGAAGAGGAUGAUACGCCUGACAUAGAAAUCACGCAGCCUCCGCUUACAAGUAUUUUGCUGAAAAACUUAAGCUCUAAUGCAGAACUGUGGCCGGUUGAAGAAGCGGAAUUCGAGGAUUUGGAGCUAGACGGACUCGAGCAUUUAGCGGGAUAUAUUUGCCACAAGCUGCAGGAUGACAUUCCCAGCACGUCGUUCAGGAGCAAUGACGACCAUUCAUUCUCCUGGGCGGAUCACCUUAAUGAGGCAUGAAUCAAUGUCCGCAUUUCACACGCACUGAUCUCAGUAUUUCAGACUCCUAAAAUUAAAAUACUUGCAUGCUACGUAAGUCCCUAGUUUUAAAAAAUCAUCAAGCGUCUUUUAUACAAAUAUAAACUUAUUUAUUUGCAGGCAAGUA